rnacentral:rRNA from 1 species
UACGGGAGGCAGCAGUGGGGAAUAUUGCACAAUGGGCGCAAGCCUGAUGCAGCCAUGCCGCGUGUAUGAAGAAGGCCUUCGGGUUGUAAAGUACUUUCAGUCGUGAGGAAGGUGUUAAGGUUAAUAACCUUAGCAAUUGACGUUAGCGACAGAAGAAGCACCGGCUAACUCCGUGCCAGCAGCCGCGGUAAUACGGAGGGUGCGAGCGUUAAUCGGAAUUACUGGGCGUAAAGGGCACGCAGGCGGUUAAUUAAGUUGGAUGUGAAAUCCCCGGGCUUAACCUGGGAAUGGCAUUCAAGACUGGUUAGCUAGAGUCUUGUAGAGGGGGUAGAAUUCCAUGUGUAGCGGUGAAAUGCGUAGAGAUGUGGAGGAAUACCGGUGGCGAAGGCGGCCCCUGGGACAAAGACUGACGCUCAUGUGCGAAAGCGUGGGGAGCAACAGGAUUAGAUACC